rnacentral:rRNA from 1 species
UACAUGCAAGUCGAGCGAACAGACGAGGAGCUUGCUCCUCUGACGUUAGCGGCGGACGGGUGAGUAACACGUGGAUAACCUACCUAUAAGACUGGGAUAACUUCGGGAAACCGGAGCUAAUACCGGAUAAUAUAUUGAACCGCAUGGUUCAAUAGUGAAAGACGGUUUUGCUGUCACUUAUAGAUGGAUCCGCGCCGCAUUAGCUAGUUGGUAAGGUAACGGCUUACCAAGGCAACGAUGCGUAGCCGACCUGAGAGGGUGAUCGGCCACACUGGAACUGAGACACGGUCCAGACUCCUACGGGAGGCAGCAGUAGGGAAUCUUCCGCAAUGGGCGAAAGCCUGACGGAGCAACGCCGCGUGAGUGAUGAAGGUCUUCGGAUCGUAAAACUCUGUUAUUAGGGAAGAACAAAUGUGUAAGUAACUAUGCACGUCUUGACGGUACCUAAUCAGAAAGCCACGGCUAACUACGUGCCAGCAGCCGCGGUAAUACGUAGGUGGCAAGCGUUAUCCGGAAUUAUUGGGCGUAAAGCGCGCGUAGGCGGUUUUUUAAGUCUGAUGUGAAAGCCCACGGCUCAACCGUGGAGGGUCAUUGGAAACUGGAAAACUUGAGUGCAGAAGAGGAAAGUGGAAUUCCAUGUGUAGCGGUGAAAUGCGCAGAGAUAUGGAGGAACACCAGUGGCGAAGGCGACUUUCUGGUCUGUAACUGACGCUGAUGUGCGAAAGCGUGGGGAUCAAACAGGAUUAGAUACCCUGGUAGUCCACGCCGUAAACGAUGAGUGCUAAGUGUUAGGGGGUUUCCGCCCCUUAGUGCUGCAGCUAACGCAUUAAGCACUCCGCCUGGGGAGUACGACCGCAAGGUUGAAACUCAAAGGAAUUGACGGGGACCCGCACAAGCGGUGGAGCAUGUGGUUUAAUUCGAAGCAACGCGAAGAACCUUACCAAAUCUUGACAUCCUCUGACCCCUCUAGAGAUAGAGUUUUCCCCUUCGGGGGACAGAGUGACAGGUGGUGCAUGGUUGUCGUCAGCUCGUGUCGUGAGAUGUUGGGUUAAGUCCCGCAACGAGCGCAACCCUUAAGCUUAGUUGCCAUCAUUAAGUUGGGCACUCUAAGUUGACUGCCGGUGACAAACCGGAGGAAGGUGGGGAUGACGUCAAAUCAUCAUGCCCCUUAUGAUUUGGGCUACACACGUGCUACAAUGGACAAUACAAAGGG